rnacentral:rRNA from 1 species
CCCUUAGAUGUUCUGGGCCGCACGCGUGCUACACUGAGUAAUUCAAUGGGUAAGGGAACGCUAGAGCAUUACCUAAUCUUGAAAUUUGCUCGUGAUGGGGAUCGACGGUUGCAAUUUUCCGUCGAGAACGAGGAAUACCUUGUAGGCGCAUGUCAUCAUCAUGCGCCGAAUACGUCCCUGCCCUUUGUACACACCGCCCGUCGCUCCUACCGAUUGAGUGAUCCGGUGAGGCUCUGGGACCUGGACGGAAAGAGCGUUUCGCUUGUUCUGUUUGGGAAACUUGGUCGAACCUUAUCAUUUAGAGGAAGGAGAAGUCGUAACA